rnacentral:rRNA from 1 species
GAUGAACGCUGGCGGCGUGCCUAAUACAUGCAAGUCGAGCGAACAGACGAGGAGCUUGCUCCUCUGACGUUAGCGGCGGACGGGUGAGUAACACGUGGAUAACCUACCUAUAAGACUGGGAUAACUUCGGGAAACCGGAGCUAAUACCGGAUAAUAUAUUGAACCGCAUGGUUCAAUAGUGAAAGACGGUUUUGCUGUCACUUAUAGAUGGAUCCGCGCCGCAUUAGCUAGUUGGUAAGGUAACGGCUUACCAAGGCAACGAUGCGUAGCCGACCUGAGAGGUUGACCGGCCACACUGGAACUGAGACACGGUCCAGACUCCUACGGGAGGCAGCAGUAGGGAAUCUUCCGCAAUGGGCGAAAGCCUGACGGAGCAACGCCGCGUGAGUGAUGAAGGUCUUCGGAUCGUAAAACUCUGUUAUUAGGGAAGAACAAAUGUGUAAGUAACUAUGCACGUCUUGACGGUACCUAAUCAGAAAGCCACGGCUAACUACGUG